AUUGAACGCUGGCGGCAGGCCUAACACAUGCAAGUCGAGCGGAUGAAGGGAGCUUGCUCCUGGAUUCAGCGGCGGACGGGUGAGUAAUGCCUAGGAAUCUGCCUGGUAGUGGGGGAUAACGUCCGGAAACGGGCGCUAAUACCGCAUACGUCCUGAGGGAGAAAGUGGGGGAUCUUCGGACCUCACGCUAUCAGAUGAGCCUAGGUCGGAUUAGCUAGUUGGUGGGGUAACGGCCUACCAAGGCGACGAUCCGUAACUGGUCUGAGAGGAUGAUCAGUCACCCUGGACGUGAGACACGGUCCAGACUCCUACGGGAGGCAGCAGUGGGGAAUAUUGGACAAUGGGCGAAAGCCUGAUCCAGCCAUGCCGCGUGUGUGAAGAAGGUCUUCGGAUUGUAAAGCACUUUAAGUUGGGAGGAAGGGCAGUAAGUUAAUACCUUGCUGUUUUGACGUUACCAACAGAAUAAGCACCGGCUAACUUCGUG
rnacentral:rRNA from 1 species